rnacentral:rRNA from 1 species
AGCGAACGCUGGCGGCGUGCCUAACACAUGCAAGUCGAACGUGAAAAGGGAAACCUGAGUAAAGUGGCGUACGGGUGAGUAACGCGUAGGUAAUCUACCCCAGAAUCUGGAAUAACCUGCCGAAAGGCGGGCUAAUACUGGAUAGAGCGAGGGAACUCGUAAGAGAGUUUUUCGGGAAAGGGAGCCCGCAAGGGCCUUCGUUCUGGGAUGAGCCUGCGUCUCAUUAGCUAGUUGGUAAGGUAACGGCUUACCAAGGCGAUGAUGAGUAGCUGGUCUGAGAGGAUGAUCAGCCACACUGGAACUGGAACACGGUCCAGACUCCUACGGGAGGCAGCAGUGGGGAAUCUUGCGCAAUGGACGAAAGUCUGACGCAGCCACGCCGCGUGAGGGAAGAAGGCCUUCGGGUUGUAAAGCUCUGUCGGAUGGGACGAACAUCUUCAUAGUGAAUAGCUAUGAGGACUGACGGUACCAUCAAAGGAAGCACCGGCUAACUCCGUG